rnacentral:lncRNA from 1 species
UUCCUUCCCGGCGAUCUUGACUUAACCUGUCAGCAGAGGGCUUGAGGUUAGACCACAGGUUGAACCUAGGUGGCUGCUGGAGAGAAACACUCUGUCUUCCUGCUUUGAGGACAGCUGAAGUCUUGCCACUUCUUCUGGAUGCUCUGACCAUCAGUAAGAGACACGGUCUGACUUUGUUACCCCGGCUGGAGUGCAGUGGUGCAAUCAUGGCUCACUGCAGCCUUAACCUCCUGGGCUCAAGUGAUCCUCUCGCCAAGGCUAGGAUAAGUAGCUAGGACUACAGAUGCGCCCCAUCACGCCCAGCUAAUUUUACAACUUCUGUAGAGAUGGAGUGUUGCUGGGUUGCCCAGGCUGGUCUUGAAUUCCUGGGCUCAAGCGAUCCUCCUGUGUCCGGAAUUGGUGGGUUCUUGGUCUCACUGACUUCAAGAAUGAAGCCGCGGACCCUCGCGAGUCUGUAUCCACCAGCUACUCUUCCAGAUUCAUGAGGCAAGGCCUGCCUGCUCACCUGGCUGGCCCCAAGCACCUCUUCAACCUGUUGCCACCGUCCUGCCUUGCUGCCCUUCUCAGCUCAUCCAGCAGGGUCUCCAAGUCGUGGAAACAGAAGCACAUAUACACACAUGCUCAUAUGUACAUGCCCACAGUCACAUAAGCACACCGAGAAACACCAUCGCAGACAUGUUCUCACAAGCACAUGUGCAUAACACUCACUACCCCUCACGCGUAUACACAUUAAUACACACACUCAUGCACACUCAGUCUUACACACACAGACACACAGCCAUAAUCACUGUUGUUGGUUGAAUUGUGCCCCCCCAUCCCCACCAAAAAGAUAAGUUGGAGUCCUAACCCCCAGUACCUGGGGAUGUGACCGUAGUUGGAAAUAGGGUGUUUGUAGAUGUAAUCAAAUUAAGAUGAGAUCUUACUGGAUUAGAGUGGGCCUUAAAUCCAGUGACUGGUGUCCUUAUAAGGAGAAAAAGAUUUGAAAACAGAGACAUGGAGACACAGAGCAGAAGGCCAUGUGAUGAUGGAGUCAGAGAUUGGAGUGAUGCAGCUAUGAGCCGAGAAAUACCAAGGUGCUGGCAGCCCCCAGAAGCAAGGAGAGAGGCAAGGAACAAUCUCCAUCAGAGCCUCUGGAAGAAACAGACUCUGCCAACACCUUGAUUUCAGACUUUUGGCCUCCUUCACUGUGCGAGAAUACGUUUCUGUUGUUUUAAACUACUGAGUCACCAAGUCUGUGGUACUGUGUUAUGGCAGCCCCGGCAACAAAUCCAAUCACACACACACACACACACACACACACACACACACACACACACACACACACAGCUGGCUCCAGGCUCAGUGAUGAGCUCAGAGGAGUUCCCCUUGGGAGCUGCUCUUUCUCUGUCUUCCUUCCUUAGUGAUUGGUCCAGUGGAUCCACAAAAGCUCAUGGCCCAGAGCAGGAGCCCAGUCAUUUUUAAUUCCUCUUCCCUGGAGUUCUUAACCAUGCGUUGCCCUCAAAAUCUGCUCUCAAGAUUUGGGUUGCCAUAUUUAGGAGCACCAGAAAACAUACAGGAAUGCUGUGUCUGCUUGCAUCAUAUUAAUUAAAAACUGGAAAUAACCUAAAUGUCCCAGAAUAGGUACAUAAACUGUGGCAUAUCCACUUAAUGGAAUACUACUCAGCAAUACAAAAGGAAAACCUAGUGUUACUUGAGCAACAUGGAUGAACUUCACAGACAUAAUAUUGCACAGCACGAGGCAGACACAAAAGUGUGCAUAUGCUAUGAUUCCAUUUACAUGAGAUUCAAGAACAGGCAAAGCAGAUCUAUGGGGAUAGAAGUCAGAAUAGUGGUUACCUCUGGAAGGUGGAAUUGACUGGGAGGGGCUUCAGGGAACCUCCUGGGGUGCUGAAAACAUUCUGUGCUUGCACCGGGUGGUGGUUAUGUGGGCAUUACAUAAAAUUCACCAAGCUGCACCCUUAAUGAUUUGUACAAUUUGAUGCACA